GGCUCAAAUUUGAAGUAGAGUAGAUUAGAAGUGCCAUUUGACCCUACUUAACUACUCUGCUUCGAGUUUUUGCCC
rnacentral:pre_miRNA from 1 species